GGAUUUGAUGAUAGAUCUUGACACCCAGUCUUACAUGCUUCUCUUGAUGCAUGAUGGUGAUAAGCGAUCGACUAUCUGAUCC